UCUGCAGCGUUGCCAAAACGAACCCAAUGACUUUGCUCGCAUCUUUCUCCGCCGCCAUUAGUACGGAACUCACCGAAGGUUACCGAACCUCAACAUCAUCGUUCUCAGCCACUCCCUCUGUUUGGUGAUUGGACCGCCAAAAAUUUGACUGUAGAAGAACCCAA